rnacentral:lncRNA from 1 species
AAGCAACAAGACACAGUGGACUGGAAAGAGGCUACUUGAAGAAGAAAGGCACCAGAACAAGUCAAGAAUCGGCGAGACCGGGCAAAAUUAGUCUUUCUUAGUUUUUGCUCUGUUCUCGUUACACGACAAGGAGCAAAGAGAGGCAGCUGUACAAGCCCAAUUUAUGCCCGGGCCGAAUAAGCCCAAUAACAAAACACCAACCCAAAACAAAAAACUAGCAAAAAAAUAAAAAAAUAAAACCCUAGGCGCCGCACCUAGGUCCGCGCCACUGCUCUGCCACUGCCGCACCUAACCCCUGACCACCUGUCGCCGCGCCACCUACUCCAUCAACAUCAAUCACCUGCAA